AUGAGGCUCCCUGCUCAGCUCCUGGAGCUGUUGAUGUUCUGGGUCCCUGCUAAGAGAUCCAGUGGGGAUGUUGUGAUGACUCAGACUCCGCUUUCCCUGCUCAUCACCCAUGGAGACCCAGCCUCCAUCUCCUGCAAGUCUAGCCAGAGUCUCCUGCAUAGUGAUGGAAACACCUAUUUGUCUUGGUACCUGCAGAAGCCAGACCAGUCUCCACAGCCCCUGAUCUACAAAGUUUCCACUAGAGCCUCUGGGGUCCCAGACAGGUUCAGUGGCCGUGGAUCAGGCACAGAUUUCACACUAAAAAUCAGCAGAGUAGAGCCUGAGGAUGUUGGAGUUUAUUACUGCAUGCAACGACUUAUGCAUAUACCUGGUUUUGGGCUACUAGGUUGA